AAGUCCUUACUGGCCUCUGCUGAGAUACCUUCUCUCUCAGUGGCUGUGGUUAUCAGCUGUCUCCAAUGCAUCUCAGUUGAUGGAGCAAGUUGUUACUCCUGCCCAGUCCACCACCACUGCUGCUGGCUGCUGGACCACCCGCUAACCAGAGUGUUUGUUACAAAAUGAAGAUGAAGCAGCUGGAACUUGGGUCUGCGAAGAGAGGCUCUGUCUUUCCUUGCUUGGCCUCUGAAAUAUGUACUCCAGUCAUGAAGCAGAGAAUGUUAUAGAGAAGACAAAGAAUUAAAUGAACCUUCUGAGGACUUCAAGCCUGGGAAGCAGCCUCUCAGACAGCUCCGCCUGCUCCAAAAGAGGUAAAGGAGAAGCCAGAAUAUAUAGGAAUUUUACAACAAAAAAACAGGUGCUAAAUCCCAGCCAUACACCAGUGCUAUAUCAUUACAAGUCAAGGUCUAUUUCUGGGAGUGACUGUGUGUCUGACCAAAGAGAUGAGUUAUCGAGGAAGAAGGCCUCCCUCGUCUAGGACACCAUUUUCUGGAAAAAGAUGAACAUCUGUAAGGACAGCCAGCUAGGCUGUUACAAGGCCUCCUCCUUCCAUCACCCCACAGGGAGUAAAUCUGGGCAGGGAAGGACCCAGCCAGAUGUGGAUGUCUGCAUGCUGCUGGGGCAACAUCCCUGCUGCUUGCACAGUUGGAAUAACGUGCCACUAUGAGGUGGCUACUUCGUGAACCGGAGGUUCUCAUUCAGAGUAUAAAUUCAGAGGAAAGACAUCUUCAGGUAAAGAAGGAACAGAAAAUACCAAGUGGUUCUCCACAGGGACCUGUAUGUUUUUCACUACCUAUGGGAGGGAAGUGAAAACAUGUGUUUAGGGAUCCAUUGAAGAAUUUGGUGGUAUUCAUCCUAGUUCAGAGCAACCCCAUGCUGAGCAGAUUGCAUUCCAUCAUGAAAUAAUUGGUAUAGAGGACCUUGAAUAGGCAUGCUCUAUACUUCCGGCAUUUAGUAAAACUCAAAUGGCAGCUGUAAUGACAUUAGUUUAUCACUUCUCAUUCAUCAAAGACUAAAAGUAUUGGAGAAAUUCAUUGGAUAAUAUAACAUCCAUUACACCUUGACUCUGUAUCAGUGAUCAAAGGUGUAAAUACCAUAAGCACGACACUGAUGUUUAUACUCCAAAGUUUGACACCUCACUUUGGGCACAGGAAUAUUAAAAUGUUCUUAGCUAUAAUUCCUCUCCAAAUGUAAAAUUAAUCAUCAAGGCUUUCAAUAGCUUUACUUACUAUGCUGCACCUUAUUUUUUACAACAACCUAAGGAAAUACUCUAGCUACUGAGGCAGUGUUAUUGUAUGCCAAAAGGUGGAGGAGACUGCUAAUAAAGCAAAACCAACCCAAACCAAACCACCACCAACAACAAAACCCAGAAAACCAACUACUGAUAACGCAGAGGUAAGUUUUUAUUAGGGGUUCUAAAAUGACAUAUGCCAGCUAAAUUAAACUUUUUAAGAUGGUGGAUUAGCCACAGAGUGAAAUCUUUCACACAGACCUCAAAGAAAUCAUAGAAAAGAGUUUUUUAAAAAAUGAUUAAAUACAUAUUUAUGCUUGGAAACCAAAGAAGAGAAUCUCUACAGAUUAGAAAGACAUACCUCAAAAUAGGAAACAAAUAGGAAGCGACAGUGGUAAAAAGAGGCCAAUGCUUUCAGAAAACUAUACUGGUCUAAAGGCAUAUAUAUACACAUAUAUAGGUACAUGUGUAUGUGUGCACACACAUUUGCAGGAAAGAUUUUAUGAAACAUACCAUCUAGUUGUUUAUACUACAAGGGUCAUUUAAAACCUGAACUUUAGGUUCUCCAAAUUUAGGUUAAUAUUGUUGAGAUUUAGGUGAUGUCCUAAGGAGAUCAUUUAGAAUUCAUGAUGGACAAAAAAGUCAUUCUUAGAAAAUGAAAAAACAAGAGCAAGACACCAAGCAUCUGAAAAUCUAACAUGUGAAGGAAGGAAAACACAAUGCACUUAUGGAAGAGUUUAAACUUGGAAAGAAGAGAAAUAAUGCAGCAAUUUGAAAAUGUUUUUAAUAUGUGUAUUUAGUACCCAGGAAGAUAGCAAAUAAAGAUAUAAAUAGUUAUUUGCUUUUUUUAUAAAAAAAUAUAGAAAAUAUGCUAUUGACCAAUGCCAGGCACAUAUUAAACACUUUAUGAAAUUCAGCCAUUAUUUUCUUUCACUAUAAUUUUGGCUUCAUGAAAGCAGAGAAUUUUGUUUGUUUUAUUUACUGCUAUGUUCUCCAGCAUGUAGAAGAAUUUCUUACACAUGGAGCAAAAAUUGAACAACUAAUUUUUAGAUAAAAAGGCUCAGAGGAAAUGAACCCAACUAGCAUCCAUGAAGAUGUGGGUUCGAUCCCUGGCCCUCACUCAGUGGGUUAAGGAUUCGGAGUUGCCAUGAGCUGCAGUGUAGGUCACAGACGUGGCUCAGAUCUGGCAUUGCUGUGGCUGUGAUGUAGGCUGGCAGCUAUAACUUGGAUUAGACCCCUAGCCUGGGAACUUCCAUAUGCUACAGGUGUGGCCCUAAGCACCAAAAGAAAAAAAAA
rnacentral:lncRNA from 1 species